CCUACGGGGUGCAGCAGUGGGGAAUAUUGGGCAAUGGGCGCAAGCCUGACCCAGCAACGCCGCGUGAAGGAAGACGGCUUUCGGGUUGUAAACUUCUUUUUUUGGGGACGAAGACAGUGACGGUACCAACGGAAUAAGCCACGCCUACCUACGUGCCAGCAGCCGCGGUAAUACGUAGGUGGCAAGCGUGAUUCGGAUUUAUUGGUUGUACGGGGUGUGUAGGCGGGAGUGUAAUUGAGAUGUGAAAACCACGGGCUCAACCUGUGCCCUGCAUGUGAAACUGUAGUGCUUGAGUGCUGGAGCGGCAAGCGGAAGUCCGGGUGUAGCGGUGAAAUGCGUAGAUAUACGGAGGAACACCAGUGGCGAAGGCAGAUUGCUGGGCAGUAACUGACGCUGAGGCGCGAAAGCGUGGGGAGCAAACAGGAUUAGAUACCCUAGUAGUC
rnacentral:rRNA from 1 species